UAACCCUCAAGCUCAGCUUGGUGUUGGGGCCUGCCGACUGGCAGCCCUUAAAAUCAGUGGCGGCGCCAUCUGGCUCUAAGCGUAGUAAUUUCUCUCGCUAUAGGGUCCUGAUGGAUGUUUGCCAACAACCCCCAAUUUUUCUAUGG
rnacentral:misc_RNA from 1 species